GAUGAACGCUGGCGGCGUGCCUAAUACAUGCAAGUCGAGCGAACGGACGAGAAGCUUGCUUCUCUGAUGUUAGCGGCGGACGGGUGAGUAACACGUGGAUAACCUACCUAUAAGACUGGGAUAACUUCGGGAAACCGGAGCUAAUACCGGAUAAUAUUUUGAACCGCAUGGUUCAAAAGUGAAAGACGGUCUUGCUGUCACUUAUAGAUGGAUCCGCGCUGCAUUAGCUAGUUGGUAAGGUAACGGCUUACCAAGGCAACGAUGCAUAGCCGACCUGAGAGGGUGAUCGGCCACACUGGAACUGAGACACGGUCCAGACUCCUACGGGAGGCAGCAGUAGGGAAUCUUCCGCAAUGGGCGAAAGCCUGACGGAGCAACGCCGCGUGAGUGAUGAAGGUCUUCGGAUCGUAAAACUCUGUUAUUAGGGAAGAACAUAUGUGUAAGUAACUGUGCACAUCUUGACGGUACCUAAUCAGAAAGCCACGGCUAACUACGUGCCAGCAGCCGCGGUAAUACGUAGGUGGCAAGCGUUAUCCGGAAUUAUUGGGCGUAAAGCGCGCGUAGGCGGUUUUUUAAGUCUGAUGUGAAAGCCCACGGCUCAACCGUGGAGGGUCAUUGGAAACUGGAAAACUUGAGUGCAGAAGAGGAAAGUGGAAUUCCAUGCGUAGCGGUGAAAUGCGCAGAGAUAUGGAGGAACACCAGUGGCGAAGGCGACUUUCUGGUCUGUAACUGACGCUGAUGUGCGAAAGCGUGGGGAUCAAACAGGAUUAGAUACCCUGGUAGUCCACGCCGUAAACGAUGAGUGCUAAGUGUUAGGGGGUUUCCGCCCCUUAGUGCUGCAGCUAACGCAUUAAGCACUCCGCCUGGGGGGUACGACCGCAAGGUUGAAACUCAAAGGAAUUGACGGGGACCCGCACAAGCGGUGGAGCAUGUGGUUUAAUUCGAAGCAACGCGAAGAACCUUACCAAAUCUUGACAUCCUUUGACAACUCUAGAGAUAGAGCUUUCCCCUUCGGGGGACAAAGUGACAGGUGGUGCAUGGUUGUCGUCAGCUCGUGUCGUGAGAUGUUGGGUUAAGUCCCGCAACGAGCGCAACCCUUAAGCUUAGUUGCCAUCAUUAAGUUGGGCACUCUAAGUUGACUGCCGGUGACAAACCGGAGGAAGGUGGGGAUGACGUCAAAUCAUCAUGCCCCUUAUGAUUUGGGCUACACACGUGCUACAAUGGACAAUACAAAGGGCAGCGAAACCGCGAGGUCAAGCAAAUCCCAUAAAGUUGUUCUCAGUUCGGAUUGUAGUCUGCAACUCGACUACAUGAAGCUGGAAUCGCUAGUAAUCGUAGAUCAGCAUGCUACGGUGAAUACGUUCCCGGGUCU
rnacentral:rRNA from 1 species